UACGGAGGGUGCGAGCGUUGUCCGGAAUCACUGGGCGUAAAGGGCGCGUAGGUGGCGUGGUAAGCGUGCGGUGAAAGCCCGGGGCUCAACUCCGGGUCGGCCGUGCGAACUGCCAUGCUGGAGCACGGUAGAGGCCAAUGGAAUUCCGGGUGUAGCGGUGGAAUGCGUAGAGAUCCGGAAGAACACCGGUGGCGAAGGCGGUUGGCUGGGCCGUUGCUGACACUGAGGCGCGACAGCGUGGGGAGCAAAC
rnacentral:rRNA from 1 species